AAAAAAAAAAAACAGAGGACGAAAGAGGCCAAGAGGAUGAACGAGAGUGUGACUGCCACUACUCACCAUCCACCACCUUCAGAUAAUCUACCACUGUCAUCGGGUUUCGGAAAAAGAAUACUGGAGGAGCAUCCAAAUUUUUGCUACGCUUUUUGAAUUUGUUAAAAAUACAAAAGCAUGUGCUUAUAAAACAAAGUUACUGAAAAUUGGAGGACAUUGAGAUCUUGUUUGGGAGGAAUAGAGCUCCUGGAGUUGGUGCAAAAUAUAUGGACGAUGCAAUUGAAGUUAUGACUAAGGAAGGAGAAAAGUGAUGAAUUCUCCUAUUGCACAACAACACAUCAACAUUUGGUAUCAAUAAGUUAUGCAAUUGAGCCUUGUCAAAGAAAAAAUGGUAGAAAAGAUCCACUUUGAAACAAUUUUUUAGUUUGAGAUUUUGAAUGUUGUUAAAGAAAAGCCCAUGUAUUUGUACUCUUUCUCUCUCUAAAAUAUUUUAGUUGGCAAGACAUUUUUUUAGUUGGGUAUGAUGGAAGAUAUUUUGUCAUUAUCUUGUCAAUUGGUUUAUCAAUGGCUUCUUUGUUUUGAAUUUUGUGUAAAAAACACAUAUUUUGGAUACUGUUAGGAACCUUAUAGGCAUAUAUAGAUAAUCAUUGUUGUAAUAUUGCAUUUAGUUAGUUAGUUAGUUGUAGGAUUGCAACAAGUUGAGCCAAGUUAGUUACAAGUU